UACGUAGGGGGCAAGCGUUGUCCGGAUUUAUUGGGCGUAAAGAGCUCGUAGGUGGUUCGGUAAGUCGGAUGUGAAAUCUCCAGGCUCAACCUGGAGGGGUCAUUCGAUACUGCCGUGACUAGAGGUCGGUAGGGGAGUGUGGAAUUCCUGGUGGAGCGGUGAAAUGCGCAGAUAUCAGGAGGAACACCCGUAGCGAAGGCGGCACUCUGGGCUGGUACUGACGCUGAGGAGCGAAAGCGUGGGUAGCAAACAGG
rnacentral:rRNA from 1 species